GGGAGGGACACUUCAUAUUCAUCAAAGGAAAAAAAUCCAACAAGAGGAAGUCUCACUUCUGACUAUCUAUGCCCCAAAUGCAAGGUCACCCACAUUCAUAAAAUAGACUGUAUUAAAGCUCAAAACUCACAUUGAACCUUACACAGUAAUAGUUGGAGACUUCAAUGCCCCACUGUCACUAAUGGACAUUGAAACAGAAACUAAACAGAGACAUGACGAAACUAACAGAAGUUAUGAACCAAACGCAUUUAACAGAUAUCUACCAACAUUUCACCUGAAAACAAGAGAAUACACCUUUUUCUGAGCACCUUAUGCAACCAUCUCCAAAAUUCACCAUAUAAUCAGAGGUAAAACAAGCCACAACAGAUACAAGAAGAUUGGAACAGGGGGUUGGAGAGAUGGUUCAGCAGUUAAAAGCACUGACUGCUCUUUCAGAGGUUCAGAGUUCAAUUUCCAGCAACCACAUCGUGGCUCUCAACCAUCGGUAAUGGAAUCUUAUACCCUCUUCUGCUGUGUCUGGAAACAUCUGCAGUGUACUCAUAUACAUGUAAUAAAUGUAUAUUUAAAUAAGAAGAUUGGAAUAAUCCCAUGCAUUAAAUCAAAUCACCAUAGAUUAAGACUGGUCUUCAAUGACAAUAAAAAUAAAAAUAAUCAAAUUUUCCUGAUGGCAGUCAUAGAUGAGAGUAAGUAAAUGAAGAAUUGUGACACUCAAAUCUAUAUUCAGAAAACACACAUUUCAGCAAGUUGGUUAUUUUUAGUGUGUCUGCACAGUAGUGAAUGAGUGUGGCAUCAACAUUCAUCUUUGAUUUUUCUCAAUAGGAUUACUAUGACUGGUCCAUAACCCUGAAAUGCUCCCCUCAAUAUUACCAAAGGACAUAAUUUCUUUCAUAGAAACUGGUCCCUAUAUUAGAUCAAUAUGCCUUUAUUUUAAAAAUUAAAGCUGUUAUAAAGAGAAUUUUCCAUCCAAAAGCAAUAAAGGAAAGGUCAAAUUUAUAUUCUUCCUUAUUUGAAUAUAUUUUAAAUCCUCAUGUAGAUAUAAAGAGAACAUGAAAAUGACAAAAUGGAUCACACCAGAGAGGACAAUUUGAACACAAAAUGCUUAUUUAGUAAAGACAUUGUUUAAUAUUCAGAACCUUCUUUAGAGUCGAUUGAUUUCUAAAUUUCAAACUCAGAAGACAAUACCCAUCCUCUUACAUUACACGAAGUUUAUUGGCUCCGCAAAUGGAAUUGGAAAUGAUUGCAAAAGGUUCAUAAACUUUAAUAGAUGACAAGCUGGGUUAGCUACUUAGUGUUAGAAGCAAGUAGGAGAAUCAGUUUUCAGGAUCAUAGUCAAGUGUUCUGCUAUAAAAAAAAACCAGUGCUCUUUUUACUUCAAAGCCAUCCUCACAUAAACUGACCCUGCUUGUUUAAUGCAGUGUUCUGAUUCCCCUUCGACUGUGUUUCCUAGUGUUAUAAUCUGCUGUCACAAAUUGCACUUAACUUUAAAUUCUCAUGAUGUAGGGCACAUUCUUAUUUAUUAUAUACUUUAUAAAUUCUGAUUGUUAGUAUCAAUAUAGUGCAUUUAAUUUUCUUAAUCUAAAUAACAUCCUAUUUCUUUUUGCUGAUUCUAAGUUUUUGUCACAUUGACUUGGAAGCUCCUGAAGGGACUUUAUUGUGAAAGCUUUGAAAGUGCAGAACCUCUCAGCUCUGUCUUUUUCUGUCUUUGCAAAGUAUGUAUAGGAAUAGGAGCAAAUCAGAGCAUAAUGUUAUCAACAAUUUUAGAUAUACUCUAUUUUAUACAAUCACCAGCUCAUUUGAUGUUCCUUUUAAAUUUCGCUAGUUUCUAUUGGUAACCAUGUGGCCUGGAUUAACCAUGUGGUCUUAUCUCAAAACAUUGCACCAAAAUUUUCAGUUGCUCCAUAUGUUUUGCUGCACUGCUUUUGUGUAUAUUCUAAGAAAACAUUCCUUUUAGCUGGCAUAUAUUGAGUGUCACUGUUCAUUGCCAUUUGGGGCUUUGUAUAAAACAGUCUGUGAUUAACAACUGUGAUGACUGUCUCUCUACUUAGGCUCUUAUGAUCUACUGGCUCAAUGAUCAGCAUGCUAAUUUGUGCAGCUGGUAACGCUGCUAUAGCUGUUUUUCCUUGCAUGUAUUAGGAUAUCUUAAGUGGCUUAAUCUCUGUGAUUAGACUGUAAAUUUUAAACAGAAGAGUAGCAUUUUCACGUUAACUUCUAUCCUUACUUUCAACUACUCUUCCUCUUGUUACUUGUUUUAAGUCCUGAAAGAUGUUUUAAUAUUUUGAUACAUAAAAUAUACUUAGACAUUUCUCACUGCAUUUCACUGUAUCUUGUUACUUGGAUACAACAUUAAUGUCAGUUCCAGAUGUAAGAUAGCAGAAAGCUUAGGCUAGAGGGUAAGCAUAAAGAUGAAUUAAAAUUGACUGUAUAAUAUGAAUAAAUGAAUUAAUGAAUGAAUAUGAAAGAAAUACUAUUCUAUUCUUGAUAUGUAAAAGUAGCAUUUAUUUGCCAGACAUAAUUGUUGUCUCAGAGGCUUACUACUAAAUAAACUCACCCUUUCUAGCUCUUUCUGAACUCUGGUUCUACUCAGCUGUUCUGGCUCCAUCUCCUCUCCAAACUGACUGAUUAGCUUCUUUUGGCUUCUGACUGAAUUGUUCUGGUUAAUCUCAAAUUACUGAGGCAAUUGUUCCAGUGCUUUGGAUCCUUCUUAUUCUGUGGCUUCAAGUGCCUCCAAUGACUGGCAAGUAAAUAGUAGAUUGUGUCCAUCACUAACGUCUUAUAUUGCCAAUACCUGUAGCUUUACUCUGGGCAUCAGAGAAUGUACCAGAAGUAGAGAGCUUCUUAUAAUUUUUUUUUCAUAUUAAAAGAGCAGAGAAUAAGAAAGGAAGACUUCUGAUCUCUCUCUAUUCACUUAAAUUGAGAUUUGCUGAAAUCUUUUUUUUCCUGAAUUCUUAUUAGACUAUUAGAAAUUCAAGGAGCUUAUUUAAUAACUUUUAAUUUCUCAUUUUUAGGUGCCAUCAGAAAAGAGAGAAGAAAUUAAAAGUAAAAACAAAAACAGAAAAGAAGCACCCUACUAACUAUUGUGUUCAGUUAGAAACACUAUGAAAGAGUUUCAAUUCAUCAUUAAUUGUUGUAAAUACAAAUUUGUGACUGUAUAUUAGUACACAAAAUUGUCAAUACUACAAGGACUAUAACAGAAUUAAAUGAUUGGAAGACUUCCUUGAAGUUCAGAAAAUGAGGCAGAGAUACCAAUUUUAAAGUAUGGAGUGUUCUGAGGACAAUGAUGGACUGUACUGGGCAACACUACAAGUAUGAAACUUAAGGACAGUAUACAGUCUGGAAGAAGCCAAACAGAAGAGCACAUUCUAUCCCUUUUUAAUGAUCAAUGUUCAUCAUACAAAUAUCUGCAGACAGAAAGAUUAGGAAUUGACGGAGGCUUAGGAGGGUUGAGAAGGUCUGGUCUUCACUAACAGCAGUCACAUCUCACGAUUUCUUCAUCAAUGCCUCAUGCACAGGGAAACUUUUGAGGCAGAGGGCUGCUUGACCAUGAACAUAUUUAUGCCCCUCAUGAAAACACCAGAGGCACAUCCUUCUUACAGUAGACUUGGUGGAUGAGUUGAAUCAGUAGCAUAGUCUACAGUGACACUAUCACAGUAUCAGAAUGGGCUGAGUGCUGCGUUAUCACUUUAGUGUUUGGGAGAUGUCCACAGAGACAAUGAGCUACUUUCUUCAACAAGUGGUCUCCAGACAUGUUACCCUACUAGUGGCUGAUGGAAAUUAAAGGUAAUAGGAUAUUUCAUAGUAAUCAAACCAACAAAUAAUGUGACUGUACAUUUAAGAAUUAUUUUUGGCAAAUAAUAUUUUCAUGUCAAAAAGUUAUAAGGAUAAUGGUUUUUAUAAAAUUCAUAAGUAUAGCAAAUAACAAUGGUAAUUUAAGAAUGACCUAUUUUUACUUUAACAUCCUUUAUAGGAAAUAGCAUUGUUUCAGUUGACCAUAUUUUGAAUGAGAAAUAAUGUUUUCAUCUGUUAAUAUAAAACACACAGGCCCAAAGUGGGAUCCAGCUCAAGGGGAGGUCCCAAGGCCUAAUUUCUGGACAUAUCUUAAACUUGCUUAUUUUUUUCUAAAUUGAAGAGACAUUAUGUGUGACAAUACUCUGGUUGGAUUUGGUUUUAAAAUUAGCUUGUGUUCCUUUCUAUCCAACUAAAGGUAAGUUACAAAAGAAGACACUCAGAUUUCUAACAUUUUACUGAAUAUGACUAUGGUCAAAACAUUUGAGUCACAGCCAGGAGAUGGUGGCGCAUGCCUUUAAUCCCAGUACUUGGGAGGCAGAGGCAGGCGGAUUUCUGGGUUGGAGGCCAGUCUGGUCUACAAAGUGAGUUCCAGGACAGCCAGGGCUAUACAGGAAAACAUUGUCUCAAAAAAAACCAAACACUUGAGUCACAUUUGUACUUAGUAACAGUGUUGUCGUGAUGUCUGAGUAUGGAGCACAUUUUCACAAUUGCUGCUCUAGGGAAUGCUUUAAGUAUGCCUACACAGUUAUGGGAAUUUAUUGGCUAUUUGUAAUGAAUACUAUGUAAAAAUACUUACCUCAUACAUACUUUUUUCCUUUAAACUGAAAUAUUUAGCACUAAUGAUGAUUAAAAUAUUUAGAGAUAAGUUCAUUUCAACAGAAAAUAAGGAUCUAUGUUUGAAAAACAAAACUAUCAAAAAUUAAAAUGGCCCCUCACC